UACGGGGGGGGCAAGCGUUGUUCGGAAUUACUGGGCGUAAAGGGCUCGUAGGCGGCCAACUAAGUCAGACGUGAAAUCCCUCAGCUUAACUGGGGAACUGCGUCUGAUACUGGAUGGCUUGGAUUCGGGAGAGGGAUGCGGAAUUCCAGGUGUAGCGGUGAAAUGCGUAGAUAUCUGGAGGAACACCGGUGGCGAAGGCGGCAUCCUGGACCGAUAUUGACGCUGAGGGGCGAAAGCUAGGGGAGCAAACGGG
rnacentral:rRNA from 1 species